rnacentral:tRNA from 1 species
GAUAUAUUAAAAAUUUGAACUUCUAAUUCAAUACAAGUGGGUUCUAAUCCCUCAUAUAUCU